UUAAGCUAAUAAGAGCGCAGGGAGGAUGCCUUGGCAUCAGGAGCCGAAGAAGGACGUGGUAAGCUGCGAAAAGCUACGGGGAUUGGCAAGCACGAUAUGAUCCGUAGAUGUCCGAAUGGAGCAAUCCACAUGGAGUCAAGUCCAUGUAUCAUAUACUGAAUAAAUAGGUAUAUGAGGGGAACCGCCCGAACUGAAACAUCUAAGUAGGGCGAGGAAAAGAAAUCAACCGAGAUUCUGUGAGUAGUGGCGAGCGAAAGCGGAAGAGGCUAAACCGAGAGGAGCAAUCCUUUCGGGGUUUAGGACUGCAUUUAGUACAACGAUUGUUAACCGAACAGCAUGGGAAGGCUGAUCAAAGAAGGUGAGAAUCCUGUAGGUGAAAACGAAAGUUGACGAGCAGUAUCCAAAGUACCGCGGGGCACGUGAAAUCCCGUGGGAAGAUGGGGGGACCAUCCUCCAAGCCUAAAUACUACCUGAUGACCGAUAGCGAAAAGUACUGUGAAGGAAAGGUGAAAAGCACCCCGGGAGGGGAGUGAAAUAGAACCUGAAACCCUGUGCUUACAAGCACUUAGAGCACGUCAAAGUGUGAUAAGGUACCUAUUGUAGAAUGGUCCGGCGAGUUAUUGUAUGCAGCGAGGUUAAGUAGUUCAGCUACGGAGCCGAAGUGAGAGCGAGUGUUAACAGCACGUUCAGUUGCAUGCAAUAGACCCGAAACCGGGUGACCUAUCCAUGUCCAGGAUGAAGUGAGGGUAAAACCUCAUGGAGGUCCGAACCCACUCCCGUUGAAAUGGUAGGGGAUGAGGUGUGGAUAGCGGAGAAAUUCCAAUCGAACCCGGAUAUAGCUGGUUCUCCCCGAAAUAGUUUUAGGACUAGCCUCGUGAUUAAGAUUAUCGGAGGUAAAGCACUGAAUGGCCUAGGGGUCGAGAGAUUACCGAAGCCUAUCAAACUCUGAAUGCCGAAUAAUCAUGCACGGGAGUCAGACUGUGUGAGAUAAGUUUCAUAGUCGAAAGGGAAACAGCCCAGACCUACAGCUAAGGUCCCAAAGUACGUUUAAGUGGAAAACGAUGUGAAAUUGCGUAGACAACCAGGAUGUUGGCUUAGAAGCAGCCAUACAUUAAAAGAGUGCGUAAUAGCUCACUGGUCGAGUGACUUUGCGCGGAAAAUUUAACGGGGCUAAAACGUACACCGAAGCUUAGGCUUGUCACAAUGUGACAGGGGUAGGGGAGCGUUGAAUGAGGGGUGAAGUCGUAGCGAAAGCGACGGUGGACUUCAUUCAAGUGAGAAUGCCGGAAUGAGUAGCGAGAAUUAUGUGAGAAUCAUAAUGGCCGAAAAUCUAAGGUUUCUUGGGGAAGGUUCGUCCGCCCAAGGUAAGUCGGGAGCUAAGCUCAGGCCGAGAGGCGUAGGCGAUGCACAUACGGUAGAAAUUCCGUAACCACCGAAACUUAAACAGAGGGACACUUCGAAAUAGCGGAACCCGGGCGUUGGUUGACCCGGGCGAAAGGGAGCGAAAUUAGAGUAGCGAAGUCCGCGAUGUUCGGAGGCGAGAAAAGCUCUGAGGUAUGCUAAGGUGCCCGUACCGCAAACCGACACAGGUAGAUGAGGAGAGAAUCCUAAGGCCAACGGGAGAAGGGUUGUUAAGGAACUCGGCAAAUUGACCCCGUAACUUCGGGAGAAGGGGUGCUCCAGAGAUGGAGCCGCAGAGAAUCGGCCCAAGCAACUGUUUACCAAAAACACAGGUUUGUGCUAAAUCGAAAGAUGACGUAUACGAGCUGACGCCUGCCCGGUGCUGGAAGGUUAAGAGGAGAUGUGCAAGCAUUGAAUCGAAGCCCCAGUGAACGGCGGCCGUAACUAUAACGGUCCUAAGGUAGCGAAAUUCCUUGUCAGGUAAGUUCUGACCCGCACGAAAGGCGUAAUGAUUUGGGCGCUGUCUCGACAAUGUACUCGGCGAAAUUGUAGUACUAGUGAAGAUGCUAGUUACCUGCGACAAGACAGAAAGACCCCAUGGAGCUUUACUGUAGCUUGAUACUGGGUUUCGAUAAUUUAUGUACAGGAUAGGUGGGAGGCGAAGAAGCAAUUGCGCCAGCAGUUGUGGAGUCAUCCUUGGGAUACCACCCUUAAGUUAUUGAAAUUCUAACCUGUAGUCCUGAGCGGGCUAGGGGACAAUGUCAGGCGGGCAGUUUGACUGGGGCGGUCGCCUCCAAAAGAGUAACGGAGGCGCGCAAAGGUUUCCUCAGCGCGGACAGAAAUCGCGCGAAAGAGUGCAAAGGCAGAAGGAAGCUUAACUGAGAGACAGACAUGUCGACCAGAUACGAAAGUAGGUCUUAGUGAUCCGGUGGUUGUAAGUGGAAAUGCCAUCGCUCAACGGACAAAAGUUACCCUGGGGAUAACAGGCUUAUCUCCCCCAAGAGUUCACAUCGACGGGGAGGUUUGGCACCUCGAUGUCGGCUCAUCGCAUCCUGGGGCUGUAUUCGGUCCCAAGGGUUUGGCUGUUCGCCAAUUAAAGCGGCACGCGAGCUGGGUUCAGAACGUCGUGAGACAGUUCGGUCCCUAUCCGUCGCGGGCGUAGGAAAUUUGAGAGGAUCUGCUCCUAGUACGAGAGGACCAGAGUGGACUUACCGCUGGUGUACCAGUUGUUCUGCCAAGAGCAUCGCUGGGUAGCUAUGUAGGGAAGGGAUAAACGCUGAAAGCAUCUAAGUGUGAAGCCCACCUCAAGAUGAGAUUUCCCAUGAUUUUAUAUCAGUAAGAGCCCUGAGAGAUGAUCAGGUUGAUAGGUUAGAAGUGGAAGUGUGGUGACACAUGUAGCGGACUAAUACUAAUAGCUCGAGGACUUAUCCAA
rnacentral:rRNA from 1 species